rnacentral:tRNA from 1 species
GUGGCUGUGGCUCAGUGGUAGAGCACUUGCCUAGCAUGCAUGAAGCCCUGGGUUCUGUUCCUCAGAACCACA